rnacentral:lncRNA from 10 species
GCAGUAGCUCAUGCCUGUAAUCCCAGCGAUUUGGGAGGCUGGGGCCAGGAGUUUAAGACCACCCUGUGUAACGUGGCCAAGACCCCUAUCUCUACAAAAAAAAAGUUUCCAGAUGUGGGAUUGGUAAAUGUCCCCUGGAUGGUAAAGUAAAAUCGUGCCCCAGUUGAGAACUAUUGUUUUUAAAAAAUCCAUCUCUUUUUUGUCUGUUUUUGUUUUUGUUUUUGUUUAUAGAGGAAAAAGGUUUAAUCGACUCACAGUUCAGCCUGGCUGGGGAGGCCCCAGGAAACUUACAAUUAUGGCAAAAGGUGAAGGAGGCCCGAGGAAACUUACAGUUGUGGCAAAAGGUGAAGCAAACAUCCUUCUUCACAUGGUGGCAGAAAGGAGAAGAAUGAGCAAAAUGGGGAAGAGCCCCUUAUAAAAUCAUCAGAUCUCGUGAGAACUCACUCACUAUCAUGAGAACAACAUGGAGGUAACUGCCCCUGUGAUUCAAUGACCUCCCACCGGGUCCCUUCCACAACAUGUAGGAAUUACGGGAACUACAAUUCAAGUAUUCUUCCUUGGAUGAAAGGACUAGGAGAAAGCCCUGCAACCCCACGAGUCCGCCCGUUUGUUGAAAUCAGUUCAAGAUCAUCCAGGUCUGCAAAACUCGGCUGAAGCAGCUUGUUGCAUAAUUUACCAGAGAAAAGAGGGCCAUCUGGAGAGCCAAUCUGGAGAACUCGAGCAAAGGCCUUCUGACCAAGAAUAUCCAGAGACAAGGUCGAAGAAUCUGAACUUUUAAAGGCCGCUUAGGAACAUCUGAUUAUCAGCAAGUCUUGGGAACCACUGAUAAUACAACGCGCACCCCCCCACUCAGUGCAGAAUGCUUCCCAACAAGGUCUCUAAAUGCUUCUUCCAAAGCAUGUUUGGGUUUGGAGAUUCAGCUCAAAUGCUCUGACACAGACUGUCCUAAACUGGUAUCAUCCCAGCCUGUGACAGAAAUUGAAAAACAAGUAAUACUUCGUGCUCUAAAAUCUUGAUUUCUGCUUAGUUGUGUCCUCAUCAAAUAGCUGCUUUCUAUUUUCCAUGGCCAAGUGCACAGAAGAAG